rnacentral:rRNA from 1 species
UGCUUGCAUGCGGGGGAUUAGUGGCGAACGGGUGAGUAACACGUGAGUAACCUGCCCUUGACUCUGGGAUAAGCCUGGGAAACUGGGUCUAAUACCGGAUAUGACCUUCCAUCGCAUGGUGGUUGGUGGAAAGCUUUUGUGGUUUUGGAUGGACUCGCGGCCUAUCAGCUUGUUGGUGGGGUAAUGGCCUACCAAGGCGACGACGGGUAGCCGGCCUGAGAGGGUGACCGGCCACACUGGGACUGAGACACGGCCCAGACUCCUACGGGAGGCAGCAGUGGGGAAUAUUGCACAAUGGGCGCAAGCCUGAUGCAGCGACGCCGCGUGAGGGAUGACGGCCUUCGGGUUGUAAACCUCUUUCAGUAGGGAAGAAGCGAAAGUGACGGUACCUGCAGAAGAAGCGCCGGCUAACUACGUGCCAGCAGCCGCGGUAAUACGUAGGGCGCAAGCGUUAUCCGGAAUUAUUGGGCGUAAAGAGCUCGUAGGCGGUUUGUCGCGUCUGCCGUGAAAGUCCGGGGCUCAACUCCGGAUCUGCGGUGGGUACGGGCAGACUAGAGUGAUGUAGGGGAGACUGGAAUUCCUGGUGUAGCGGUGAAAUGCGCAGAUAUCAGGAGGAACACCGAUGGCGAAGGCAGGUCUCUGGGCAUUAACUGACGCUGAGGAGCG